GACGAACGCUGGCGGCGUGCUUAACACAUGCAAGUCGAACGGAAAGGCCCUGCUUUUGUGGGGUGCUCGAGUGGCGAACGGGUGAGUAACACGUGAGUAACCUGCCCUUGACUUUGGGAUAACUUCAGGAAACUGGGGCUAAUACCGGAUAGGAGCUCCUGCUGCAUGGUGGGGGUUGGAAAGUUUCGGCGGUUGGGGAUGGACUCGCGGCUUAUCAGCUUGUUGGUGGGGUAGUGGCUUACCAAGGCUUUGACGGGUAGCCGGUCUGAGAGGGUGACCGGCCACAUUGGGACUGAGAUACGGCCCAGACUCCUACGGGAGGCAGCAGUGGGGAAUAUUGCACAAUGGGCGGAAGCCUGAUGCAGCAACGCCGCGUGCGGGAUGACGGCCUUCGGGUUGUAAACCGCUUUCGCCUGUGACGAAGCGUGAGUGACGGUAAUGGGUAAAGAAGCACCGGCUAACUACGUGCCAGCAGCCGCGGUGAUACGUAGGGUGCGAGCGUUGUCCGGAUUUAUUGGGCGUAAAGGGCUCGUAGGUGGUUGAUCGCGUCGGAAGUGUAAUCUUGGGGCUUAACCCUGAGCGUGCUUUCGAUACGGGUUGACUUGAGGAAGGUAGGGGAGAAUGGAAUCCCUGGUGGAGCGGUGGAAUGCGCAGAUAUCAGGAGGAACACCAGUGGCGAAGGCGGUUCUCUGGGCCUUUCCUGACGCUGAGGAGCGAAAGCGUGGGGAGCGAACAGGCUUAGAUACCCUGGUAGUCCACGCUGUAAACGGUGGGUACUAGGUGUGGGGUCCAUUCCACGGGUUCCGUGCCGUAGCUAACGCUUUAAGUACCCCGCCUGGGGAGUACGGCCGCAAGGCUAAAACUCAAAGGAAUUGACGGGGCCCCGCACAAGCGGCGGAGCAUGCGGAUUAAUUCGAUGCAACGCGUAGAACCUUACCUGGGUUUGAUAUGGAUCGGGAGUGCUCAGAGAUGGGUGUGCCUCUUUUGGGGUCGGUUCACAGGUGGUGCAUGGCUGUCGUCAGCUCGUGUCGUGAGAUGUUGGGUUAAGUCCCGCAACGAGCGCAACCCUUGUUCACUGUUGCCAGCACGUUAUGGUGGGGACUCAGUGGAGACCGCCGGGGUCAACUCGGAGGAAGGUGGGGAUGACGUCAAGUCAUCAUGCCCCUUAUGUCCAGGGCUUCACGCAUGCUACAAUGGCUGGUACAGAGAGUGGCGAGCCUGUGAGGGUGAGCGAAUCUCGGAAAGCCGGUCUCAGUUCGGAUUGGGGUCUGCAACUCGACCUCAUGAAGUCGGAGUCGCUAGUAAUCGCAGAUCAGCAACGCUGCGGUGAAUACGUUCCCGGGGCU
rnacentral:rRNA from 1 species